CCUAUUGUCGGUGACAAAUUGUACUGAACUGCUUUUCGCCCGAAGCUUCGUGACCUAUUUGGGUCGACCUCGUAUUGCCCGUCUGGGACCAAUACGUGAUAGUGCGUGCUCGAUCAAAUCAGUGGACGCCGCGGAGAAGCUACUCCGGGAUGUUAUUUUUCCGCUCGGGGGCCGCCAACUAGCGUUCCGGGGACCCCCCAAACUCUGCGGUGAGUUCUGUCGGGGUGUCGUGACUGUCUCGCAGGACGAAACCUCAGUGCGGAAGCAAUUGUAGUGUCUGUGCGGAAGCUGGAAGGAACCCCGGUUAUGGGAUCACCUUAGCGGAGGCCCAGGUGCCACGGACGGUGUUUGCAGCCACGAACGGCUCGCUGUUCGCCUGUAAAAAAAGGCAGUGCCUACAUGCCACCGCUGUUGCAAAGUGGGCCAUCGCGCCGAUGCCUGCCCGCGACCGCAGGCCAGGCGCUAAGGAAGCAGCAGGGUUCAGGUUUCUGCUGCCAAUCUUGAUGGACCAGCAGAACACAAGUGCACUGCGAGCUGCCUCAUCUGCGGAGGCGGCCACCCAACCGGAGCUCCCAGCUAUGCCGGGCGGUUCCGGAAACCCAUCUAGUCGGCUUCCCUAAAGGGAUCCAAGCCGAAGACAGUGACGGGGCUGAAGCAGGCUCCUGCGCCCAAAGCCGGCCUCAAGCGCCAGUCGCAAGCCGGAGCCCAAGAAGGCCCAAACUGGGCCACCUACAAAUGUAAAGUCCGGGACUGAGGCGAGGCCCCCGGUCUCAAGGCCAAGGAUUUCCCGCCCUUCCAACCCAUUCAGCCACAGGUUCAAGAUGGACUUCUUCCAAACAUCACUUCCCACGGUCUGAGAUAACUGCAGCGAACAAAAGCCGCCAUCAAAGACGAUCUUCAAUGCCAGUGCCCACAUUCCUAAAAAAAUCACAGUGCGCACACAUGCUCUGGCCUAGUGUGCGUUGGCCCGUUGCGGACGUACUACGAUACAGCACACUGCAGCGUCAGUGGGCAGCUUCUUCUGUGAACAACAAAAUGCUUAGUUCAGAGCAACUACUAACUUGCUUUGGCAUCGUGGAAACUUAUUCGACCGCAUUGUCGCUAU